rnacentral:lncRNA from 1 species
UCUUGGAGCAAUGUCUAAGGGCAAAUACUUUAAAAAAUAAUUUAUUAUCCAAAACUUCAAAUUUAACUAUGCUUCCGGUAUUGAUUUUGGACUCCUUGUUUCCAAUGCUUACACAAUGAAGGCAAACUCUGGGGAGGACUUGAGUCAGGAGUGUGACUGGGUUGGUGUGGUAGAUUAUGUGCUACAGAGGGCAUAGCUGGGGACAUGAUGCCAGCCCUUUGGAGGCACCCAGAAGAUCAUGUGUGGAUCCCAGACAUUGAACCAAGAAGCUGCAACAUUGAAGUUGCCUUGGAGACUCCAAGAUGUUCGAGAUGCCAGAGCUGUGAGCUAUCUACUGAGGAAAGUUGCUAACAAGGAGUGGAACCAUUCCAGGAAAAGAAGUUUGUUGCAGUCAACAAAGAUGAAAAGAAGUUGGAGAUCUGAAGACAGCUUUGACAUCAGAUAUGGAGAUGUAGAGUUUGGAGUUUGCCCAGCUGGUUUUUUUGUCUUGCUUUGGAGAUUACAGUUAAGUGAUUGGAUGAAUCUCAGAAGAGACUUUGAAUAAUGUUGAGACUACUAUAGACUAUGGGGACCUUAGCUGUUGGACUAAAUGUACUUUUAAAAUUAUGUUGUGGCUAGAUAUGGGCCCCAUAGAUUCAUAUGCUUGAAUAAGUCUAUGGGGGCCAGGGAGAGAGGAAUGUCAUGGUUUGUAUAUUCUUGGCCCAGGGAGUGGCACUGUUGGGAGGUGUGUCCUUGUGGGUGUGGGCUUUAAUAACCUUGUCCUAGUUGCCUGGGAGCCAGGAUUCUGCUAGAAGCUUUCAGAAGAUGUAGAACUCUCAGCUCUGCCUGAACCAUGCCUGUACCAUGCCUGCUUGGAUGCUGCCAUGCCCCUCCCUUAAUGAUAAUGGACUAAACCUCUGAACCUGUGAGACAGUCCCAAUUAAUUGUCCUUAUAAGAGUUACCUUGGUCAUGGUGUCUGUUUACAGCAGUAAAAUCUUAAGACAGUAGAAGACUUGGAAAACAUGGUAUGUGUGUGGGGGGGCAACUAUUAAGAACUCCCACACUCCUUAUCCCAACACCUCAAAUACUUUGAGUGGAUAAAAUGGAUGGUCAGAGCCUUGCUUUUCAAGUCUUACACUGCUCCCUAGUCCUGCCCGUCCCAGCUCUGGAGUUUUCAAUGGGUUUGGUCGCUGAAGGACAUGUCAUACACUUGUUCCCACUGAAGUGUGGUGGAAUGACAAGAGUCAGACAUAGUACUGCGGCUGGUAAAUGAUGCUUUCCACCAAAGCUGCUUCUGUCUCCAGCAGGAGUCUCAGAGACUGUUGACUUGGAAGCUUCAGACCUGCCGUCUAGUCUAAACCCAGCGUUGCCACUUAAUGAACCAUGUCACUGGAUGCCGGGGUCACUUAGGAAUUGAUCUCAGGACCUCUAAAGGAGCAGUCAGUGCUCUUAACCACUGAGCCAUCUCUCCAACCCAAGGACUCUUUGUAAACAAGACAAUUGUCCUUCUUUAAAAAAAGACAGAAAAUACUUUCUAUUUUAUCAGAUAACCUUGGAAGCAAAGGUUUGUUUCUCUGUAGCAGUGGCCCUCAACCUUCCUAAUGCUGAGACCCUUUAAUAUAGUUCCUCAUAUUGUGAUGACCCCCAACCAUAAAAUUAUUUUUGUUGCACUUCAUAUUUGUAAUUUUUCUCCCAUUAUGAAUCAUAAUGUAAAUAUCUGAUGCAUGGGAUAUCUGGUACACGACCCAUGUGAAUGGGGUCAUUCGAUCCCAGAGGGUCUUGAACCACCUCUUGAUAGGCAUGUUCAAGUUGUUGUUGCUGUUAUAGGAGUUGUUUUUAUGGUUCCAAGUGAGGUUUUCCUGUUUCCAGAGGCCAAUACUGUGUACCCAAAGAUUUUAGAGUCUUGGCCCACACUCAGAGUCUGAAACAAUAAAAAAUGCAUAUUUUAUUGAAUACCCCACCCCCAGCGCCACCCCCAGCAGCAGGUGCUCAAUGCAUCAUGAGGAAUGUCUCUAGGCAUCCUACAGAGAGAAAAAUGAAGACUUAUCUCUCAGAAUCUCAUCUCUGUCCCACAGGAGGAGAUGAACCAUAACCUGGGUCUCCAAUUUAGGGGAAAGCAAGAAGGACAAACGAGUGAUAUGAGACUGACAGCCAUUGGCUUCCAGGGCCAUUUGUAUGGGGACCGGAGGAGACUGGAUCCAGGUGAAGCUCUGCUAACCCCUUAUCUACCUACUUCUCAAACCUACAGGAUGCUCUGAUUUAGACUUGGUGUGUGUCUGGGUGUGG